UGACCACAGACUUUGAUCCGCUGGCUGGGAACCUUUUCCUGUCCGCCUGGAUCUUGGUGGGAGUGGUUCUCACUGCUUUGAUCAAGUCUGACCUGAAGCGGCACAACGUCAACAUGGCGACGGAGGGCCGGCCGCUUCCCUCGGGAGGGCCCGGCGGCUGUCCUGCAGAGACCAAAACCAACGAAGUCCAGCUGGAGCCUUCCCUCAGCUUCACCAGAGAAACGUCUCUGUGACCGCGGGCCGCAGGAGCGUCGCCGUAGCUCCCGUUGCCAUGGAUGCUGCUCUGACAGAGAACAUUCCUCAUCGCCGCGGUGUUUCCCUCUGAGGGGAUGGAAGCUGCUCGUUAAGCUCCUCCACCAGAACCGGGUCCAUCCAGACUGGAUCCAGGCAGAACUUGGUUAAAACAGCAGCAGCUUAUUCCAUCUGAAUGUAGCUUUGUUUUGGACCGGCUGCUUCCAGAACCUGGAACUUAAACGCCCAGAUGGUCCUGGAUCUACAGGAAACUCCCCAUUUGCUCCUCCAGGAGCUUUGUGGGCGGAGCUUCAGGGAUGUGGGGCGUUUUCAGGGACCCAUCAGUCCCUGUUGACCAAAGCCAGAGCGGCGUCUCGCUCCCGUCUGUAGAUCCUGGACGGUUCUCAGGUUCUGGAAGGUUGCUGGUUCUGGAGAGACCAGGAUGAGAUGAAGCUCCUGCAGGUGUGGGGCCACCUGGGGGUGGGGUGGGGGGGGGGGUUACUGGACCAGAACUUCAGCUGAAUCUCACGUUUAUUUCAGUGAAUCUUAUGACUUUCAUUUAGACAAAGGACGUAAAUAUGAAUGGAGCUAAUUAUUCAACUCUGAAUCAUUUCAACUUUCAUUCAAAAGAAAAUAAUUUAUUAACAAAAAUCUUUUAGCUCCAAGUCAAACAGACCAAACUAAACGGAGCUUCUGGAUGGAAGAAACGACCAUUAAAUGAUGCAAUGGUCACGGCCCAGCAGCAGGUUUAUGACCGAGAACCAAACGGGACCAAAUUAGCUUUAAAACUAAUUUAGAGAAAUUAGUUUGAGUUCAAAUUGAUUCAUAAUCCAAGGAAUUAAAUGAUUUCCCUAAAUUAGAAAUAACCUUUUAGAUAAAAGAGUGUUAACCUUCUGGGAUUGAGGGAAUAAAGAGGCGAUGGAGAAAAUGGCGGCGUGUCAUGGUGGAUGAUGUGCCUCUGCAGGAACAUCAUCUCUAACCUUUCAGGUUCAUUUACACUCAGAAAUCUGGUAUUUACUAGAUUUAUUCUUCUGGUUUUGGCACCAGUGUCGUUUAUUUGUGAUCUUUCUGACGGUGGGCGGACUGGAAAUGAGACUAGAGAGAAGC